UCGGAUGUGGUGUAUGGCGCACAUCAGCUCUUCAUUUGAGGUCAAUAUCUUGCAUGCUGAAGGCCUAGGUUCGACUCCCUACAUCCGAA